rnacentral:rRNA from 1 species
UCAUUAACUGAAUCCAUAGGUUAAUGAGGCGAACCGGGGGAACUGAAACAUCUAAGUACCCCGAGGAAAAGAAAUCAACCGAGAUUCCCCCAGUAGCGGCGAGCGAACGGGGAGGAGCCCAGAGCCUGAAUCAGUGUGUGUGUUAGUGGAAGCGUCUGGAAAGGCGCGCGAUACAGGGUGACAGCCCCGUACACAAAAAUGCACAUACUGUGAGCUCGAUGAGUAGGGCGGGACACGUGGUAUCCUGUCUGAAUAUGGGGGGACCAUCCUCCAAGGCUAAAUACUCCUGACUGACCGAUAGUGAACCAGUACCGUGA